rnacentral:rRNA from 1 species
UACGGGGGGAGCAAGCGUUGUUCGGAUUUACUGGGCGUAAAGGGCGCGUAGGCGGCCACUGCAAGUCGACUGUGAAAUCUCCGGGCUUAACCCGGAAAGGUCAGCCGAUACUGCGGGGCUAGAGUGCAGAAGGGGCAACUGGAAUUCUCGGUGUAGCGGUGAAAUGCGUAGAUAUCGAGAGGAACACCUGCGGCGAAGGCGGGUUGCUGGGCUGACACUGACGCUGAGGCGCGAAAGCUAGGGGAGCGAACGGG